UAUGUAUGCUCAGUGAAAUCUAUGCAUGUUCCACUGAUAAAAGAGUACAUAAACAACAGAACACACGCGAUUUAUACACCGUACACGGAAGGGGGUUGGAUUUUAUUACUAUUACGCGGCAGCGGCUAGUACGCUAAGCUAGACGGCGUUCGCCUCCCUCAGAGGAGGGCGGCGACGAUGGCGGCUUCUCAGGUGCGCUGAGCCAGGCGCUCGUUGUGCCUGUCGCGCUCGCGCUGCCUGUCGUCCUUGCCCAUGAACAUGAAGUAGCCGACGGUGCCGACGGUGAGGAGGCCGCCGACGGCCAUCGUGGUGGGGCUGAAGCGGCGCAUGGGGCUGGACGGGCUCGUCGCCGACGACGACGCGCGCUUCAGCGGGUCGUCGGCCAUGGAGGCCCACGCCUUCAUCUCCGGCCACAUGGUGGACGGACGAUGCUCCUCCUCUUCUCGCUGCCAAGCUGCAAACUCCGGCCAAGCUUUCUUGUUUG
rnacentral:lncRNA from 1 species